AGUGAACGCUGGCGGUAGGCCUAACACAUGCAAGUCGAACGGCAGCACAGGAGAGCUUGCUCUCUGGGUGGCGAGUGGCGGACGGGUGAGGAAUACAUCGGAAUCUACUCUGUCGUGGGGGAUAACGUAGGGAAACUUACGCUAAUACCGCAUACGACCUACGGGUGAAAGCAGGGGAUCUUCGGACCUUGCGCGAUUGAAUGAGCCGAUGUCGGAUUAGCUAGUUGGCGGGGUAAAGGCCCACCAAGGCGACGAUCCGUAGCUGGUCUGGAAGGAUGAUCAGACACACUGGAACUGUGACACGGUCCAGACUCCCACGGGAGGCAGCAGUGGGGAAUAUUGGACAAUGGGCGCAAGCCUGAUCCAGCCAUACCGCGUGGGUGAAGAAGGCCUUCGGGUUGUAAAGCCCUUUUGUUGGGAAAGAAAUCCAGCUGGCUAAUACCCGGUUGGGAUGACGGUACCCAAAGAAUAAGCACCGGCUAACUUCGUGCCAGCAGCCGCCGUAA
rnacentral:rRNA from 1 species